rnacentral:rRNA from 1 species
UACGUAGGGUGCGCGCGUUAAUCGGAAUUACUGGGCGUAAAGCGUGCGCAGGCGGUUUUGUAAGUCAGAUGUGAAAUCCCCGGGCUUAACCUGGGAACUGCGUUUGAAACUACAAGGCUAGAGUGUGGCAGAGGGGGGUGGAAUUCCACGUGUAGCAGUGAAAUGCGUAGAGAUGUGGAGGAACACCGAUGGCGAAGGCAGCCCCCUGGGUUAACACUGACGCUCAGGCACGAAAGCGUGGGGAGCAAACAGG